GAAAAGAGGAGGAGUCACAGAUCCUGAAAGGCUUGGGACUGGCCUGCAGUCCCUUGGGAACUUCCUGUUGUCACCACACCUCUGCAUUAGUUAUCUGAGCUCUCUGAGUGGAAAGUCUAAGGCUCUGGGAAGGAACUCAUUCUCCUUGUGAAUGUGACACACUCUGUCUCCAGUUCCCAUAUGCUGAAAUUAUUUUUCCUCAUUAGUUUGACGUGCUUGGUGAGAUCAGACACAGAUGAAACAUGUCCUUCAUUCACCAAACUGAGUUUUCACAGUGCAGUGGUUGGUACAGGACUCAGUGUGAAGCUGAUGCUCUACACAAGGAGAAACCCAACCUGUGCACAAGCCAUCAAUUCCACAGCUUUGGGGAACUUGAACAUGACCCAGAAAACCACCUUCAUUGUCCAUGGAUUCAGGCCAACAGGUUCUCCUCCAAUUUGGAUGGAGGACUUAGUGGCUGGUUUGCUCUCCGUAGAAGACAUGAAUGUGGUCGUUGUUGACUGGAAUCGAGGAGCUACAACUGUAAUGUACAACCAUGCCUCCAGUAAGACCAGAAAAGUAGCAGUAGUCUUGAAGGAAUUUAUCGACCAAAUGCUGGCAGGAGGAGCUUCUCUUGAUGACAUUUACAUGAUUGGAGUAAGUCUAGGGGCCCACAUAGCUGGGUUUGUUGGAAAGAUGUAUGAUGGCCAGCUGGGAAGAAUUACAGGUCUGGACCCUGCGGGCCCUUUAUUCAACGGGAGGCCUCCAGAGGACAGAUUAGAUCCUGGUGAUGCCCAGUUCAUUGACGUCAUCCAUUCUGACAUUGAUGCACUGGGCUACAAGGAACCAUUAGGAAACAUAGAUUUCUAUCCAAAUGGAGGACUGGAUCAACCUGGUUGCCCCAAAACAAUAUUUGGAGGAAUGCAGUAUUUCAAGUGUGACCAUCAGAGGUCCGUGUACCUGUACCUUUCUUCCCUGAGAGAGAAAUGCACCAUCACUGCAUAUCCCUGUGACUCCUACCGGGAUUAUAGGAAUGGCAAGUGUGUCCACUGUGGCACACCACAGAUGGAGUCCUGCCCCCUUCUGGGUUAUUAUGCUGAUAAUUGGAAAGACUAUUUAAGGAAGAAGGAUCCUCCCAUGACUAAAGCGUUUUUUGACACAGCUGGGGAGAAACCGUUCUGCAGUGAGUGUAUAUCAUUACUUUGUGGACAUUAUAACUUGGAACAAGAACAUAAGAAGGGGAUCCAUUACAAUCAAAUUGAGAGACAAAGCUGGAAACACCACAGAAUCCAAAAUCAAUCAUGAACCUGCAACAUUUCAGAAAUACCACCAAGUGAGUCUGCUUGCAAGAUUCAGUCAGGAUCUGGAUAAAGUGUCAGCCAUUUCCUUGGUAUUCUCUACAGGAUCCGUAAUAGGCCCAAAGUACAAGCUCAGGAUUCUCCGAAUGAAGUUAAGGUCACUUGCCCAUCCAGAAAGGCCCCAGCUGUGUCGGUAUGAUCUUGUUCUGAUGGAAAAUGUUGAAACGGUCUUCCAGCCUAUUCUUUGCCCAAAGUUGCACAUGUAACUGUUGUGAGGACUCCUGGGUGCCAGUAACAUCAAGAAUGCUGCAACUACAGGCUUUUUAAAGCUUUACCGCGCCUUUUCCUCAAGGCACAAAAAGGAUGGAAUAACCAGGGUUUUUUUUUUUUUUUUUUUUCCCAGUAAUGUCUUAUGGAUGUCACAUUGUAAAAAUGUCAAACGACCUUGGAUUAUGAAACAGUCCUGGGAAGAGAGCCCCUAAGUAGGGCAAGUCAGAAAUAGCCAGGCUCCCGACGGCCCAGUGCCUUGUUAGUCUGUGUCCUGGGGCCCCAUUUGUUCCGACCUGUCGAUUCUGCUGCCUGUCACUGAGGUAGUUCUGCCCAUCGCAGCGGCCAGCCAUGCACCUUAAAGGGAAGGACUGGCUGGCAACUUCACUUUGGACUUGACCCCACAUUCCCUGUGCCAGAUCCCUCCAGGCCCUGCAUGGAGACAGGAAUGGAAACUGACCUACCUUACAGGGCUCUUGUGUGGGGGGGUUUGGGAGGCAAGUCUGUGAAGGGUUCUUUGAAAUCCCCUGGGUGCCACAUCUGUGAGUGGCUUGAUACAUGUGAAUAUGCUUUUAUUUAUUUUGAUACAGUUUUUCUAAUAUGCAAUAAGAGUUUCUCCUUAUCAACA